GACCUUCGCCGGCCCGGUCUUCGAAGGCCCGGGCUUCGCGGGCCCGGUCUUCGCGGGCGCCGUCCUGCCCGGGGUCGCC
rnacentral:tRNA from 1 species